CAAACAGAAGUGAAAAAAUAAACAAACAAAAAUGAAUUAAUGAACAAGUAAACAAAUUAAGAAAAUUACAUACACAAAUAACUCAUAGAAACAGAUAGAUAAUGAGAAAAAGCACAUUUAUUUUAUAUGCAAAUUUUUGUUUUUGAACAUACGAAAUAACUUACCACCAGCACGGAAUUGGGUAGUAAAACAUAGCAGCAAAGUUUAGCCUUUAUCCUUUUUUUUUAAUCAACUUUCUAUUCUGACUGACAUCUGCAAGUGAAAGGAUGAAAUAUUUUCAAGAUAAAAUGGUCUAUGUGGGAUGUGAAUGCAUAAAUAUGCACCUCCAGGUGGGACAAGAUUUUUGUGAGAAUGAGUGAUUUGUGGAAAUGAAAAUAAAACUUGGGUUAAUAUUUGGUUUCUACACAAGAUUCAAAAUACAGCAGCUGCUGAGGAUGUAGAAAAAUACAGUACUAUUUGUUGUGAUUUCUAGGAUGUCUUAGUUUUUGGUUUUUUGCUGCUAAACUUUGAUGUUUUUCAACGGUACAAGAAAGUUGUCUGCAUUGAAUUGCUGAAGGUGAAUGAAACUCAAUUAUCAUUUAUUUUCUUUUCCUACUCAGGUUCAGACUUUAUAAUCACUUUAUUCUCUACCGUCUAGGAGUUCCUACUUCUUUUGUGGAAAUGGUUGUUAUUUGAGAUUUGAAGAUGUCCUGAGCGUCAUUAAACUGCUGUAUGACUGGAAUCAGCUUUAGGACAAACGGCCUUGUUUACCUUUACACUUACAUUAGUAUUCUGGCAUUUCCCACCAGCAUCCUUAUAAAUGGACGGUCUCUCGUCGGCACCUACUCCACGCUGGUCGGCACGGUUUGUGGAGUGAAACGCGGCACGCCUUCCGAUGCCGGACUUUGUUGGAAAGGGC